GAGAGAGAGAGAGAGAGACAUGCUAGCUACUUAGUCUGCUAAUAUACGAUCACCAUAAAUUGAAUGGACAUAUCUGCCUGCUUAGUCCAGUGCAUGCCUAAUAUUCAAGAAGAUGAAGAUGGCCAUGCUGAGAACCAUUUUUCUUUUCUCUCUCAUCAGUUUUUUCCAAUUUUCCACCUGUUCUACUUUGGUUAAACCAAAGAGUAGUUCACAAGGGUCGUCACAAAAAACAUGGUUUGUGAGCAUAGAUAACUACAAUGAUGUCCAACGCCGUUCACCGCCACCACCUCCGAAAGCAGGACCGACACCAGGCCAGUCACCAAGCCCAAAAGAUCUUCUAUCCAAGUCCAAGAGAGCUCCUCCAAGUCGAUACACAGCUUCAGCUUGAAAUGCUUAAGCUUCAGAAAGUUAACAGGCUAGCUAGUCUAGGCUGUCUAUUAUGUCCAGCUUAUACGUACAUUAAUUCGUGUAGUCUCUCUUGUUCUUUAAAGUUUGUUCAUGCAAUGGUACUUGUAUAAGAAUUAGUAGCAAGAGCAACCUGAGCAUGUUGAUGGAUAUAGGGCCCCUGUGGUUCAAAUCCUAAAGCAAGUACCAAUGAAUCUCUGCUCAGGAGUCAAUUUAAACAAAUCCAAAAACCUGUUCCUCUCUGAGGGAACUACAAGUACUAAUUUAUAUAUCUUUUUUCAGUAAUCCAUCUUCAAAA